GACGUAGGAUGCGAGCGUUAUUCGGAUUUAUUGGGCGUAAAGCGUGCGUAGGCGGCUGUUUAAGUCUGGUGUUAAAGCUAGGGGCUCAACCCCUGUGGUGCAUCGGAUACUGGGCAGCUUGAGUGCGGUAGGGGAAGGUGGAAUUCCGAGUGUAGCGGUGAAAUGCGUAGAUAUUCGCAAGAACACCAGUGGCGAAGGCGGCUCACUGGCCCGAUACUGACGCUGAGGCACGAAAGCGUGGGGAGCAAACAGG
rnacentral:rRNA from 1 species